rnacentral:rRNA from 1 species
CCGGCGACCGGCGCACGGGUGAGUAACACGUAUGCAACCUGCCCUCUUCAGGGGGACAACCUUCCGAAAGGGAGGCUAAUCCCACGUAUAUCGGUUUCGGGCAUCCGAGAUCGAGGAAAGAUUCAUCGGAAGAGGAUGGGCAUGCGGCGCAUUAGCUAGACGGCGGGGUAACGGCCCACCGUGGCGACGAUGCGUAGGGGUUCUGAGAGGAAGGUCCCCCACACUGGUACUGAGACACGGACCAGACUCCUACGGAAGGCAGCAG